rnacentral:tRNA from 1 species
AGCCUUGUAUUCAUUUUGUGAUUAUAGAAUGCAAUUCUAUAGGGGUAAGUCUUUAACUUACCAAGGCCU